rnacentral:rRNA from 2 species
AGCAGCCGCGGUAAUUCCAGCUCCAAUAGCGUAUAUUAAAGUUGUUGCAGUUAAAAAGCUCGUAGUUGAAUUUCGGGAUUGGCGCAUCGGUCGUGCCUUACGGGGUAUGAACUGGUGCAGUCAAUUUCUCACCUUCUGGAGAACCGCGAUGUCCUUAAUUGGGUGCCGCGGGGAACCAGGACCUUUACUUUGAAAAAAUUAGAGUGUUUAAAGCAGGCAUUUUUGCUUGAAUACAUUAGCAUGGAAUAAUAAAAUAGGACGGCAUGGUUCUAUUUUGUUGGUUUCUAGGACCACCGUAAUGAUUAAUAGGGAUAGUUGGGGGCAUUAGUAUUCAAUUGUCAGAGGUGAAAUUCUUGGAUUUAUUGAAGACUAACUACUGCGAAAGCAUUUGCCAAGGAUGUUUUCAUUAAUCAAGAACGAAAGUUAGGGGAUCGAAGACGAUCAGAUACCGUCGUAGUCUUAACCAUAAACUAUGCCGACUAGGGAUCGGAUGAUGUUAAUUUUUUAAUGACUCAUUCGG